UUUUUUUUUUUUUUUUGAAGAUUUUAUUUAUUAUUCAUGAGAGACAGAGAGAGAGAGAGGCAGAGACACAGGCAGAGGAAGAAGCAGGCUCCAUGCAGGGAGCCCAACGCGGGACUCGAUCCUGGGACUCCAGGAUCUGGGCCUAAAGGAGACGCUCAACCACUGAGCCACCCAGGGAUCCCCAGAGACAGGCACAUAAAAAUAACUGAUACAGUCCCAAGUUUAAAGGAAAAAGAAAAAAAAAGAAAAGAAAAAGAAAAAGAAAUAACUAUUAAUAAAUCUUUGAGACAAUCCUGGACACAUGACUGUGGAUUAUGCAUCAGAUUUUGACAAAAAUUACUACAUGUCUUGUUGGAGUUGAGAGUGGAAGAGUGGUUAUAUGAGAAAAUAUUCUUGUUUUUGGUUUUAGACACUAAAUUAUGUAGGAAUGAAACAACAAUGUUUUGGGUUUCCUUUAAAAUGCAUUAGCAAAAACAAAAUCAGAUAGAUGAAGUGGUAUUUUGAUUAUUGUUGAAUCUAGAAGAUAAAUAUAUGGGAAUUUUUAUUAACAAUUCUUUUUUUUACAUUAUGCUUAAACUCUUCAUAGUAUAAAAAUUUAUGUUAAGAAAACAAUAGCAAUGGGGCACCAGGAGGGCUCCAUCGGCUAAGCAGCUUUGGCUCAGGUCAUGAUCUCGGGGUCCCAGAAUUGAGCCCCAUGGGGACCCUGCUUCUCCCUCUGCCUCUUCUCCUUCCCACCGCUUGUGCUCAAUCUCUCUCGCUCUCUCUCAAAUAAAAUCUUUUUUAAAAAUAAAAAAAAAAAAACAAUAGCAACCACAAACUCUAACUACAAAAUUGCAGCUUUAGCAGAAGGCAUAACUCUUUCACAAAAGGAUGACAGCCCUGCUGACAAAGCUGGCACCGAACUCCUAAAACAUUGUUUGAAAUGAGGGACUUGCAGAGGCCACACGAUAGAGUCUUCAAAAUAAAUAAAGAGACUAAAAAUGAUUAUGACACAAGAUUUUGAUUGAUCCUAAUUCACUUGUGACACUGACCAACAGUGCACGACCGCCGUGAGGGUGAAAUUCUUUUGCCAAAGACAUUGCAAGACUGGCCAUCCGCAGCCUUUAUUUUAUUUUCUUUUUUUUCAUCCGCAGCCUUUAACCCUCAAAGCCACCCCCACCUCUGAACCUGCAGAGUGAAGAUGUGCGCGGUGAGGUCCGAGCUGCUGCACAGAGGGUGCAGCACCCAGCACCUCCUUCAGAUGUGGCCACGGGAGACGAGGAGCGCCAAGACUAUGAGCAGACAAUGAACAGAGAAGAAAAAGGAAGAUGGUUUUUACUCAACAGCAGAACCAGGUGCUUCCAGAUAGUCUUCACAAGAAAUGCAUUCUAUGCCAGAUAAAAAAUAAAAAAUAAAUUUAAAAAAAAGAGUCUUUGAGCACCUGCUGGAAUAAAUGGGUAGAUAGACUUCCAUAAUCCAAAUUCUUGACCUGCAUGUUUUUUUCUUCAUCCCAACUCAUUCCUAACAUGUAGGCUCAAUCUUCUCAGUAUUUGAACUACUGGUUCAGCAGAAACCAGGAAAAACAAGAACUUUGUAGUUAGAAUGUUAUCCAACUGUAUAUUGUUUACUUUAUUGUAAAUACUGGUAAACAGUGGUCAAUAAAUAGUUUUUUUUUUUAAUAAAUAGUUUUAUAUUCCUUUUUUUUUUUUUAAAAGAGUCUUUGUUGUCUGCAUGGUGGGGGAGAUGCUGCGUG
rnacentral:lncRNA from 1 species